UGGGGAAUCUUGCGCAAUGGUCGAAAGACUGACGCAGCGACGCCGCGUGUGGGAGGACGCCUUUCGGGGUGUAAACCACUGUUGCCCGGGACGAACGAGCGCUUUCGAGCGCUGUGACGGUACCGGGUGAGGAAGCACCGGCUAACUCCGUGCCAGCAGCCGCGGUAAUACGGAGGGUGCGAGCGUUGUCCGGAAUCAUUGGGCGUAAAGGGCGCGUAGGUGGCCCGGUCAGUUCGUGGUGAAAGCGCGGGGCUCAACCCUGCGUCGGCCAUGAAUACUGCCGCGGCUGGAGCACUGUAGAGGCAGGCGGAAUUCCGGGUGUAGCGGUGGAAUGCGUAGAGAUCCGGAAGAACACCGGUGGCGAAGGCGGCCUGCUGGGCAGUUGCUGACACUGAGGCGCGACAGCGUGGGGAGCAAACA
rnacentral:rRNA from 1 species